GACGAACGCUGGCGGCAUGCCUAAUACAUGCAAGUCGAACGCUCGGGAUUCCUUCGGGAAACUCGGGAGUGGCGGACGGGUGAGUAACACGUAGGCAACCUGCCUGUAAGCCGGGGAUAACUCACGGAAACGUGAGCUAAGACCGGAUAGUCAAGAGGAAGGCAUCUUCCGCUUGGGAAAGACGGAGCAAUCUGUCGCUUACAGAUGGGCCUGCGGCGCAUUAGCUAGUUGGUGAGGUAACGGCUCACCAAGGCGACGAUGCGUAGCCGACCUGAGAGGGUGAACGGCCACACUGGGACUGAGACACGGCCCAGACUCCUACGGGUGGCAG
rnacentral:rRNA from 1 species